GUUAAUGUAGCUUAAAUUAUCAAAGCAAGGCACUGAAAAUGCCUAGAUGGGCGUUUUACCCCAUGAACA
rnacentral:tRNA from 1 species